GAGGCUUGAGACUGUCCCAUAGACUGCCAAAUAAAUAACAGUGUCAAGGUCCAGGAAAGUAUGAAAAGCAUCGUCAGAAUAGUCCAUCUGCCAUCAGUGAUUCAACCGUAACAUUAUGAAGUGACGAGAAUACUUUUUGUACACAAAGAAAACAUUUAGGCAAUUCUGAGCAGUAAGCAGAUGGCGUACGCUCUUCUGUAUCAGCACGGCUGAUACAGAAGAGCGUAAGCCGCUUGUGUACUGCUCAGAAUUGCCAAAAUGGCACCACGCUGAAUUGGAGAGACACAGAGGAGAGGAAUUGUUGAAUAAAAUUGUUAUUUUUGUUUCCUUCAUGUACAAAAAGUGUUCCCAUCGGUUCAUAACGUUACGGUUGAACCACUGAUGGCAGAUGGACUAUUCUGACGAUGCUUUUCAUACUUUCCUGGACCUUGACACUUUUAUUUAUUUGUCAGUCUAUGGGACAGUCUCAAGCCUCCCUGUUUUCAUCCGAAAUGUCUUAAAUUGUGUUCUGAAGACAAACAGAGCUUUUACGGGUUUGGAACGACAUGGGGAAUCAAGACAAAAUGUUUAUUUUGGGAUGGAGUAUCCCUUUAAUGUGUGUUUGUGUGUUGUGUGUUGCCUUCUGCAGUUUCCCUGCAAUAAUCCUCUGGUUGCUCAGCUGAUGUUGAGGAGAGCUCCAUCACUGCUUCUUUAUCUGCGCUGCAGGAAAUGUUCCCACAGAUCCCUCACAAAGUCAUUGAGGAAUCCUGAUACCAUUCAAACGGUUGGGGUCAUAACAGCAGAAGAGGAGAGGAAAUAUGGCCAAGAAAUGAAUUAUCUCUUCUAG
ensembl:lncRNA